rnacentral:rRNA from 1 species
CUCGGGAGCAGAAACCGAGGGGGGAAACAGACACUUCAGUCUCCCCGAGCAACUGGCCCCUCCUCUCUUCGUCUUCCUCUCACAAGGCUAGCCUAGCCAGCAGCAAUGGCUAGAGCACCGCUGCUGCUGCUGCUUGUUCCUCUUCUCGCGGCGGUGUGCCUCGCGUCCUUGGCCCCCGGCGCCAAUGCGGCGGGGAGGAAGAUGGUCGGCGUCUACGAGCUCAGCAUGGGAGAUUUCUCUGCCAAGGUCACCAACUGGGGCGCCACCGUCACGUCCGUCGUCUUUCCGGAUUCCAAAGGGAAUUUGGGCGAUGUUGUCCUUGGCUAUGACACCAUCGCUGAAUAUGUUAACGGAUCCAGUUACUUUGGAGCGCUUGUUGGACGAGUAGCCAACAGGGUGGCCAAGGCGCGCUUCGUGCUCGAUGGAAAAGUCUACCACCUAUAUGCCAACGAUGGCAAGAACGCACUUCAUGGCGGUCAUAGGGGCUUCAGCAAAGUUAUAUGGACGGUGAAGGAAUAUGUCAGUGGUGGUGACUCCCCACACAUCACGCUGUACUAUCAUAGCUUCGACGGAGAGCAAGGGUUUCCCGGGGCCCUGGACGUGUACGUGACGUACGAGCUGUCGAGCCCGUACGUGCUGAGCGUGCGCAUGAACGCGACGGCGCUGGACAAGGCCACCCCGGUGAACCUGGCGCAGCACACGUACUGGAACCUGGGCGGGGAGGGCAGCGGCGACGUCCUGGGCAACACGGUCCAGCUCUUCGCGUCCCGGUACACGCCCGUGGACGCGACGCUCAUCCCCACGGGGCAGCUGGCGCCCGUGGCCGGCACGCCCUAUGACCUCCUGGCGCCGACCUCCGUGCGCGAGCACCUCCGCCAGGUCGUGGGCGGCAGCAGCAACGGCAGCACCAUCUACGGCUACGACAUCAACUACGUGGUCGACGGGGACGCGCGCGCGCUGCGCAAGGUGGCGGCCGUCCGGGACGGCGCGUCCGGGCGCGCGCUGGAGCUGUGGGCGGACCAGCCCGGGGUGCAGUUCUACACCGGCAACUUCCUCCAGGACGUCAAGGGGAAGGGCGGCAAGACGUACGGGCAGUACGGCGCGCUGUGCCUCGAGACGCAGGGGUUCCCCGACGCCGUGAACCACCCCGACUUCCCGUCGCAGAUUGUGAGGCCUGGCCAGGCGGCGUACAAGCAUGACAUGGUGUUCAAGUUCUCCUUCUAGCUAGAGCUGGUCGACCCAAGGAUGGGCACCGCUGUUUAGGCACCUUCAGUCGAGUGACCGGUCUCCUGAUGUUCUGACUCUUUUGGUGUCGGUACUUGGUAGGAAGAUCAGCAAUAAUACUCUCGGGUACAAGGCUAUUUUUGCACUGAAAACUGAGAAAUUUAUGGGAUGCCCCUCGUGUACGGGUGCGUCGACAUAUCCCAAACCGUCCUCAACGCCGGUUAUAGGCCAGUCCACGUGCAGUAAAAGCAUCUCCAACAGCCG